rnacentral:rRNA from 1 species
UACGAAGGGUGCAAACGUUGCUCGGAAUCAUUGGGCGUAAAGCGCACGUAGGCGGUUUAUCAAGUCGGAUGUGAAAUCCUUAGGCUCAACCAAAGAAGUGCAUUCGAAACUGAUAGACUUGAGUAUGGAAGAGGGUCGUGGAAUUCCCGGUGUAGAGGUGAAAUUCGUAGAGAUCGGGAGGAACAUCUGUGGCGAAGGCGACGACCUGGGCCAAUACUGACGCUGAGGUGCGAAAGCGUGGGGAGCAAACAGGAUAGAAACCCUG